rnacentral:rRNA from 1 species
GACGAACGCUGGCGGCGUGCUUAACACAUGCAAGUCGAACGGAAAGGCCCUGCUUUUGUGGGGUGCUCGAGUGGCGAACGGGUGAGUAACACGUGAGUAACCUGCCCUUGACUUUGGGAUAACUUCAGGAAACUGGGGCUAAUACCGGAUAGGAGCUCCUGCUGCAUGGUGGGGGUUGGAAAGUUUCGGCGGUUGGGGAUGGACUCGCGGCUUAUCAGCUUGUUGGUGGGGUAGUGGCUUACCAAGGCUUUGACGGGUAGCCGGCCUGAGAGGGUGACCGGCCACAUUGGGACUGAGAUACGGCCCAGACCCCUACGCGAGGCAGCAGUGAGGAAUAUCGCACAAUGGGCGGAAGCCUGAUGCAGCAAAGCGGCGUUCGGGAUGACGGCCUUCGGUUUGUAAGCCGAUUUCGCCUGUGACGAAGCGAGAGUGACGGUAAUGGGUAAAGAAGCACCGGCUAACUACGUG